UAACGUCUUGAGGUGUACCGGGAGUUCC
rnacentral:sRNA from 1 species